UACAGAGGGUGCAAGCGUUAAUCGGAAUUACUGGGCGUAAAGCGCACGUAGGCGGUUGGUUAAGUCAGAUGUGAAAGCCCCGGGCUCAACCUGGGAAUUGCAUUUGAAACUGGCCAACUAGAGUAUGUGAGAGGGGGGUAGAAUUCCAAGUGUAGCGGUGAAAUGCGUAGAGAUUUGGAGGAAUACCAGUGGCGAAGGCGGCCCCCUGGCACAACACUGACGCUCAGGUGCGAAAGCGUGGGGAGCAAACAGG
rnacentral:rRNA from 1 species